GGAGGGUGCAAGCGUUACUCGGAAUCACUGGGCGUAAAGGACGCGUAGGCGGGUUGUCAAGUCAGGUGUGAAAUCCUACAGCUUAACUGUAGAACUGCACUUGAAACUGGCAACCUAGAGUAUGGGAGGGGGAGAUGGAAUUAGUGGUGUAGGGGUAAAAUCCGUAGAUAUCACUAGGAAUAUCAAAAGCGAAGGCGAUCUCCUGGAACAUUACUGACGCUAAGGCGUGAAAGCGUGGGGAGCAAACAGGAUUAGAUACCCUGGUAGUCCACGCCCUAAACGAUGAACACUAGUCGUCGGGAUGCUAGUCAUCUCGGUGAUGCACUUAACAGAUUAAGUGUUCCGCCU
rnacentral:rRNA from 1 species